AAGUCGUAACAAGGUUUCCGUAGGUGAACCUGCGGAAGGAUCAUUAAUGAAUUCUGAGUAGGCUCUGCCUCUCACCCUUCAUAUCCAUAAACACCUGUGCACAGUCGGACCCUUGAGUCUUUCGGGACUCCCGGUGUCUUGACGAUCUUAUCAAACAACAAUGUAACCAAUGUAAUCAUUAUUAUAACAUAAUAAAACUUUUAACAACGGAUCUCUUGGCUCUC
rnacentral:misc_RNA from 1 species